GAGUUUGAUCCUGGCUCAGAUUGAACGCUGGCGGAAUGCUUUACACAUGCAAGUCGAACGGCAGCACGGGAGCUUGCUCCUGGUGGCGAGUGGCGAACGGGUGAGUAAUGCGUCGGAACGUACCGAGUAAUGGGGGAUAACGCAGCGAAAGCUGUGCUAAUACCGCAUACGCCCUGAGGGGGAAAGCAGGGGAUCGCAAGACCUUGCGUUAUUCGAGCGGCCGACGUCUGAUUAGCUAGUUGGUGGGGUAAAGGCCUACCAAGGCGACGAUCAGUAGCGGGUCUGAGAGGAUGAUCCGCCACACUGGAACUGAGACACGGUCCAGACUCCUACGGGAGGCAGCAGUGGGGAAUUUUGGACAAUGGGGGAAACCCUGAUCCAGCCAUUCCGCGUGAGUGAAGAAGGCCUUCGGGUUGUAAAGCUCUUUCAGCUGGAAAGAAACGGUGCGCUCUAACAUAGCGUGCUAAUGACGGUACCAGCAGAAGAAGCACCGGCUAACUACGUGCCAGCAGCCGCGGUAAUACGUAGGGUGCGAGCGUUAAUCGGAAUUACUGGGCGUAAAGCGUGCGCAGGCGGAUUGUUAAGCAAGAUGUGAAAUCCCCGGGCUUAACCUGGGAAUGGCAUUUUGAACUGGCAGUCUAGAGUGCGUCAGAGGGGGGUGGAAUUCCACGUGUAGCAGUGAAAUGCGUAGAUAUGUGGAGGAACACCAAUGGCGAAGGCAGCCCCCUGGGAUGACACUGACGCUCAUGUACGAAAGCGUGGGUAGCAAACAGGAUUAGAUACCCUGGUAGUCG
rnacentral:rRNA from 1 species